UCGCUUUGGCAGCAGAUAUACUAAAAACUGGAACGAUACAGAGAAGAUUAGCAUGACCACUGAGUAAGAUCAAAUUCGUCACUAGAUCCUCUCCCUUCAGUA